UACGUAGGGCGCAAGCGUUAUCCGGAAUUAUUGGGCGUAAAGAGCUCGUAGGCGGUUUGUCGCGUCUGCCGUGAAAGUCCGGGGCUCAACUCCGGAUCUGCGGUGGGUACGGGCAGACUAGAGUGAUGUAGGGGAGACUGGAAUUCCUGGUGUAGCGGUGAAAUACGUAGAUAUCUGGAGGAACACCGGCGGCGAAGGCGGCUCACUGGCCAUAUACUGACGCUGAAGCACGAAAGCGUGGGGAUCAAACAGGAGU
rnacentral:rRNA from 1 species